rnacentral:rRNA from 1 species
CGUACUGGAAACUAUUUAUCUAGAGGAAGACAGAGGUAGAUGGAAUUCUCAUUGUAGGGGUAAAAUCCGUUGAUAAUGAGAGGAACACCAAAAGCGAAGGCAGUCUACUGGGUCUUUCCUGACACUGUGCGAUCGAAAGCGUGGGGAGCAAAAGGGAUUAGAUACCCCUGUAGUCCACGCCGUAAACGAUGGAUACUCGGUGUAGGUAGUUUUAAUCGCUAUCUGUGCCCUAGCAAACGCGUUAAGUAUCCCGCCUGAGUAGUACGACCGCAAGGUUAAAACUCAAAGGAAUAGACGGGGAUCCACACAAGCGGUGGAGCAUGUGGUUUAAUUCGACAAUAAGCGAGGAACCUUACCUGGACUUGACAUCCUGAGAAGCUUUCAGAAAUGAGAGUGUGCCUUUUGGAACUCAGUGACAGGUGCUGCAUGGUUGUCGUCAGCUCGUGCCUUGAGGUGUUCGGUUAAGUCCGUUAACGAGCGCAACCCUCGCCAGAUGUUGUAUUUUUCAUCUGGGACUGCCGGUUUUACACCGGAGGAAGGUGAGGAUGACGUCAAAUCAGCAUGGCCCUUACUGUCCAGGGCGACACACGUGCUACAAUGGCCGGUACAAAGGGUAGCUAAGUUGUAAAGCGGAGCCAAUCCCAUAAAGCUGGUCACAGUUCGGACUGAGGGCUGCAACCCGCCCUCAUGAAGCUGGAAUCGCUAGUAACCGUAAAUCAGCCAUCUCUACGUUGAAUAUGUUCCUGGAUCUUGUACUCACCGCCCGUCAAGCCACGAAAGGCAGGGGUGCCCGAA